GACGAACGCUCCCGUUGUGGUUAACACAUGCAAGUCGAACGGAAAGGCCCUGCUUUUGUGGGGUGCUCGAGUGGCGAACGGGUGAGUAACACGUGAGUAACCUGCCCUUGACUUUGGGAUAACUUCAGGAAACUGGGGCUAAUACCGGAUAGGAGCUCCUGCUGCAUGGUGGGGGUUGGAAAGUUUCGGCGGUUGGGGAUGGACUCGCGGCUUAUCAGCUUGUUGGUGGGGUAGUGGCUUACCAAGGCUUUGACGGGUAGCCGGCCUGAGAGGGUGACCGGCCACAUUGGGACUGAGAUACGGCCCAGACUCCUACGGGAGGCAGCAGUGGGGAAUAUUGCACAAUGGGCGGAAGCCUGAUGCAGCAACGCCGCGUGCGGGAUGACGGCCUUCGGGUUGUAAACCGCUUUCGCCUGUGACGAAGCGUGAGUGACGGUAAUGGGUAAAGAAGCACCGGCUAACUACGUGCCAGCAGCCGCGGUGAUACGUAGGGUGCGAGCGUUGUCCGGAUUUAUUGGGCGUAAAGGGCUCGUAGGUGGUUGAUCGCGUCGGAAGUGUAAUCUUGGGGCUUAACCCUGAGCGUGCUUUCGAUACGGGUUGACUUGAGGAAGGUAGGGGAGAAUGGAAUUCCUGGUGGAGCGGUGGAAUGCGCAGAUAUCAGGAGGAACACCAGUGGCGAAGGCGGUUCUCUGGGCCUUUCCUGACGCUGAGGAGCGAAAGCGUGGGGAGCGAACAGGCUUAGAUACCCUGGUAGUCCACGCUGUAAACGGUGGGUACUAGGUGUGGGGUCCAUUCCACGGGUUCCGUGCCGUAGCUAACGCUUUAAGUACCCCGCCUGGGGAGUACGGCCGCAAGGCUAAAACUCAAAGGAAUUGACGGGGCCCCGCACAAGCGGCGGAGCAUGCGGAUUAAUUCGAUGCAACGCGUAGAACCUUACCUGGGUUUGACAUGGAUCGGGAGUGCUCAGAGAUGGGUGUGCCUCUUUUGGGGUCGGUUCACAGGUGGUGCAUGGCUGUCGUCAGCUCGUGUCGUGAGAUGUUGGGUUAAGUCCCGCAACGAGCGCAACCCUUGUUCACUGUUGCCAGCACGUUAUGGUGGGGACUCAGUGGAGACCGCCGGGGUCAACUCGGAGGAAGGUGGGGAUGACGUCAAGUCAUCAUGCCCCUUAUGUCCAGGGCUUCACGCAUGCUACAAUGGCUGGUACAGAGAGUGGCGAGCCUGUGAGGGUGAGCGAAUCUCGGAAAGCCGGUCUCAGUUCGGAUUGGGGUCUGCAACUCGACCUCAUGAAGUCGGAGUCGCUAGUAAUCGCAGAUCAGCAACGCUGCGGUGAAUACGUUCCCGAGGGU
rnacentral:rRNA from 1 species